GGGGCUGUAGUUUAAUGGUAGAACAGUCUGGCCUGUCACCCGACAGAUGCGGGUUCAACCCCCGUCGGCUCCACCA
rnacentral:tRNA from 1 species